rnacentral:rRNA from 1 species
GACGAACGCUGGCGGCGUGCCUAAUACGUGCAAGUCGAGCGGACAGAAGGGAGCUUGCUCCCGGAAGUUAGCGGCGGACGGGUGAGUAACACGUGGGCAACCUACCCUGUAGAUCGGGAUAACAUCGAGAAAUCGGUGCUAAUACCGGAUAAUCAUUUGAAGUGCAUGCUUCGAAUGUAAAAGAUGGCUCCGGCUAUCACUACGGGAUGGGCCCGCGGCGCAUUAGCUAGUUGGUAAGGUAAUGGCUUACCAAGGCAACGAUGCGUAGCCGACCUGGGAGGGUGAUCGGCCACACUGGGACUGAGACACGGCCCAGACUCCUACGGGAGGCAGCAGUAGGGAAUCUUCCGCAAUGGACGAAAGUCUGACGGAGCAACGCCGCGUGAGUGAUGAAGGUUUUCGGAUCGUAAAGCUCUGUUGUUAGGGAAGAACAAGUGCCGUUUGAAUAAGGCGGCACCUUGACGGUACCUAACCAGAAAGCCACGGCUAACUACGUGCCAGCCGCCGCGGUAAAAC